rnacentral:rRNA from 1 species
CCUACGGGAGGCAGCAGUGGGGAAUAUUGCACAAUGGGCGCAAGCCUGAUGCAGCCAUGCCGCGUGUGUGAAGAAGGCCUUCGGGUUGUAAAGCACUUUCAGCGGGGAGGAAGGCGGUGAGGUUAAUAACCUCAUCGAUUGACGUUACCCGCAGAAGAAGCACCGGCUAACUCCGUGCCAGCAGCCGCGGUAAUACGGAGGGUGCAAGCGUUAAUCGAAAUUACUGGGCGUAAAGCGCACGCAGGCGGUCUGUCAAGUCGGAUGUGAAAUCCCCGGGCUCAACCUGGGAACUGCAUUCGAAACUGGCAGGCUAGAGUCUUGUAGAGGGGGGUAGAAUUCCAGGUGUAGCGGUGAAAUGCGUAGAGAUCUGGAGGAAUACCGGUGGCGAAGGCGGCCCCCUGGACAAAGACUGACGCUCAGGUGCGAAAGCGUGGGGAGCAAACAGGAUUAGAUACCCGAGUAGUC